rnacentral:lncRNA from 1 species
AGUAAACUUGUUGAUGUCUUUUAUGCAGGUUUUUGACUUUUGGCUCCUUUCCCACUCUCCAAUAAUGGAAAAAGCGACGAUAGAAACCUUUGAACCCAUAAAGUUAGAAACCAUUGAACCCAAAUGGAUUGACAAUGAACCAGAAGUUGGACCCUUUUGGAACCAAAGCACAGCAAAUAAACACAGGGAGGUGAAGAAGUCGCAUACAGACCUAAGCAAACCUGUCCAAACCAAAAUCUGGUGGAAUGGAAAAAAAACUCUUUUCUGAAAGGUGAUGAACAAGCCAAGUAAUCAAUUUCUAAGUGUACCUUUGCCUAAAAGUGAUGCAACUUCUACUAGUGUAUGAAACCACAAAUAAGUGAUGAAACUUCAACUAGUGUAUGAAACCACAAAUAAAUAUGUACUGUUUCAGGAAUAAAACUACUUUUUAAUUUUGUUUCAAUUCUCAUGUAAACAUGCACUAGCUAGAAGUUCAACACACUAAUUUUUAAAAUAAAAAUACUUUUGAAUUCCGCUAAAAUUGAUUAAA